UACGUAGGCAGCAAGCGUUGUUCGGAAUUACUGGGCGUAAAGAGUGUGUAGGCGGUGCUCUAAGUCGUCGGUGUAAAUCUCCUGGCUCAACUGGGAGGGUGCGCUAUAGACUGUGGGACUAGAGUGUGGGAGAGGAAAGUGGAAUUCCUGGUGUAGCGGUGAAAUGCGUAGAUAUCAGGAGGAACACCGGUGGUGUAAACGGCUUUCUGGACCAUAACUGACGCUGAGGCACGAAAGCGUGGGUAGCAAACAGG
rnacentral:rRNA from 1 species